GGGAGCUUGCUCCCUGAUUCAGCGGCGGACGGGUGAGUAAUGCCUAGGAAUCUGCCUGGUAGUGGGGGACAACGUCUCGAAAGGGACGCUAAUACCGCAUACGUCCUACGGGAGAAAGCAGGGGACCUUCGGGCCUUGCGCUAUCAGAUGAGCCUAGGUCGGAUUAGCUAGUUGGUGAGGUAAUGGCUCACCAAGGCGACGAUCCGUAACUGGUCUGAGAGGAUGAUCAGUCACACUGGAACUGAGACACGGUCCAGACUCCUACGGGAGGCAGCAGUGGGGAAUAUUGGACAAUGGGCGAAAGCCUGAUCCAGCCAUGCCGCGUGUGUGAAGAAGGUCUUCGGAUUGUAAAGCACUUUAAGUUGGGAGGAAGGGCAUUAACCUAAUACGUUGGUGUUUUGACGUUACCGACAGAAUAAGCACCGGCUAACUCUGUGCCAGCAGCCGCGGUAAUACAGAGGGUGCAAGCGUUAAUCGGAAUUACUGGGCGUAAAGCGCGCGUAGGUGGUUUGUUAAGUUGGAUGUGA
rnacentral:rRNA from 1 species